GACGAACGCUGGCGGCGUGCUUAACACAUGCAAGUCGAACGGAAAGGCCCUGCUUUUGUGGGGUGCUCGAGUGGCGAACGGGUGAGUAACACGUGAGUAACCUGCCCUUGACUUUGGGAUAACUUCAGGAAACUGGGGCUAAUACCGGAUAGGAGCUCCUGCUGCAUGGUGGGGGUUGGAAAGUUUCGGCGGUUGGGGAUGGACUCGCGGCUUAUCAGCUUGUUGGUGGGGUAGUGGCUUACCAAGGCUUUGACGGGUAGCCGGCCUGAGAGGGUGACCGGCCACAUUGGGACUGAGAUACGGCGCAGACUCCUACGGGAGGCAGCAGUGGGGAAUAUUGCACAAUGGGCGGAAGCCUGAUGCAGCAACGCCGCGUGCGGGAUGACGGCCUUCGGGUUGUAAACCGCUUUCGCCUGUGACGAAGCGUGAGUGACGGUAAUGGGUAAAGAAUCACCGGCUAACUACGUG
rnacentral:rRNA from 1 species